ensembl:lncRNA
GGAAGAAGGGCAAGGGGGCGGGAGGUGGAAAGGUGAGGAGGCAAGGAAGGGGGAGUGGAUGGGGUCUGCCAAAAUAAAUGCAUGAAUGCUGUCUUUGACUGACUGGCAUCUUUGAAGUGAGCUAUAAUUGCAGGCCUCUUGUCCAGCGGUGGAGCCUGUGGCAAGCCGGGCCUCGGCCAAACUGAGAUGUUUGGCUGCAGCUCAGAGGAAACGUCAUGGCUCAACAAUAAACAAUAUCAAGAGGCUUCGAUUCAGCCUGAUGUCGUGUCACGCUUUAGUGGAGCUGCACAGACAGAAAUCAGUCACUGCUUUGUUCGUUUGCUGGAACUCUGAGAAAUGCAGCCGUUUGUGACUCGACAUGCAGAACCCUGACAGGACCAGAGAGAUGAAGAUGAUGAUGAGGAUUCUCACAAAGCUCCUUUCACAGCAGCACACAUCCAGCCAUUAGCUUGUCUUUCUAUGUCCGUCGCAGCUCACUGCCGCUCCAUCACACGCACUAACGUCAUACCUCCGGAACGGCCAUCUUUUUGGUGAAAAGAAAUAUGGCAGCUACACCUUUGGCCCCGUCUCAUUUAUCCUGAAACUGUCAGCUGAAACUCCAAACUACAGUGCACAGUACAUGUAGCGUUUUAAAACUGAACACGUCUCCAGUGGGGUCCGGAGUCUGCCUCAGCAGACUUUGCUCAGAGCAGGUCAACAGGUUGCUUCAGUGUAGACACCAGCUUUUUCCACUUCCUUGCUCCUCAGGCUCGAGUCAAGUCCGGCAAAAUUUGAAGGUGGACUGGAGGCGGUGUAACAGACCGGAUUAACCCCCCAGGGGCUGGAAUGACCUGUCCAAGAAUACGCCUCUCCAGGCCAAAAUAUACCACAUGUAAAACAAGAUUACAUCACGGAUUUAGGCAACAAUACAAAGAGACAGUACGUUGAUGUAAGGACUGACCUUUGGAGCACAGAUCAAGUCAGUCAAAGACAAUACAAAGAGAUAUUAAACUGAAAUUUGUUAAACAGAAACAACUGAAGUUAACACCAGUCAGUGUGGAUGUUCUUUCAUAGUGUUUUGCGUACAUUUCUCUUGUUUUUCAAUUCAGUUUUUCCUUUGAUUUGAACUUUUUCAAUUGUAAUUAGCUCAACAAUGUUCUAGUAAUGUUCUUUCAUAAUGAUUUGCUUGCUGAGAAUACCUCUGUAAAUAAAUAACUUAACAAUUAAGAGUUUACUAUGCCUAAUCUUCAUGUGUCAGCAGGU